CCUACGGGAGGCAGCAGUGGGGAAUAUUGCACAAUGGGGGGAACCCUGAUGCAGCGACGCCGCGUGAGUGAAGAAGUAUUUCGGUAUGUAAAGCUCUAUCAGCAGGGAAGAAAAUGACGGUACCUGACUAAGAAGCCCCGGCUAACUACGUGCCAGCAGCCGCGGUAAUACGUAGGGGGCAAGCGUUAUCCGGAUUUACUGGGUGUAAAGGGAGCGUAGACGGUUAUGCAAGUCUGAAGUGAAAGCCCAAGGCUCAACCAUGGGACUGCUUUGGAAACUGUAAAACUGGAGUGCAGGAGAGGUAAGCGGAAUUCCUAGUGUAGCGGUGAAAUGCGUAGAUAUUAGGAGGAACACCAGUGGCGAAGGCGGCUUACUGGACUGUAACUGACGUUGAGGCUCGAAGGCGUGGGGAGCAAACAGGAUUAGAUACCCCUGUAG
rnacentral:rRNA from 1 species